rnacentral:lncRNA from 1 species
GUAGGGAUGACUCUUAAACCAGGGAGAAAGCCUCUCUCUAUAGUAGACACCAUUGGACAAUUUCCUUGUUUCCCUCCUGUUCAUUCAUAAAAAGCAAUUUUUUUUUUCUCAUUUUAAGGGGGAAAAAGAGAGGGUGGGACAGGAACUCAGCUCCUCCAGUGUAAAGGACUAAAUGAAAAAUAUAAAAGCCCAAAUUGUAAAUCCUGGAGAAAUGAAGCCAGUGGGGUGGAGCGGGGGAGGAGAGGACUGUAGUGGUGGAAAGGUAAGUUGCUUUGCUAUGCGCCUUGACUUAAAAGAAAAACAAACAAACAACAAACAUCUUCCAGGAUUUCCCUAGACCGGGCCUUAUGCGGGAUCAGUGCGCCUCUCACCUAGCCCGGGGAAGGCAGGGGCUCCCCAGGAGAUAUUUCAAAUAAUCUGGGUCUUCACGGAUAAUCAGUGGCCAAAGCCCCUCCACCCACCGUAACCAAGGCAACAGGAGGCAGGGGCUGCGAUUGGUUGCCUGGUAACCAUGCUAGUGCCUGAAGUCCUGUCCGUUCUCUUCCUCCUCCACCUCCGUUUGCCCUUUUGUGAUAGCGUCUCUCCCUCCGCGGUUCCCUUUCUUGGCCAAACAAUCAUCUUUGCUCCUCAUACAAAGGGUGUUCUAAACCAUGCAGAUAAAGGCCACUUGCCCAGGAAGGGGAAGCAAGAAGGUCCUGGUUUCACCGUGAACACAAAUGACUGUUUUGGCAGUCUACCGUACUAUCCACCAGACUAGUCUUUCAGAGAAAAAUGCCAGAGGCAGCAACUGAAAGCAGCUUGUAGGAGUCAUCAGUUAGUCACUGAAGCAAAUCAUUUGAGAGAAGAUAAAGGCGAGCUCUUGACACUCCUGGGACAAGAAGACCUGCCCUGCGAGACUUGCCUGUGAGUGGCUCAGCUUCUCCUACCCUGGGGAAGGUAAUUGAUGAGUUAAUUAAUAUGCACAGCAGAUGCAUCACUGUCAAUAGAAGAUGGACUGCUUCUGGUCCUCACUAUCGUUACUAAGAUGAUCUCAGCCUUUCAACUUAGUUGGGAGAAACCAAUUUCCU